rnacentral:misc_RNA from 1 species
GAUGAAGAACGCAGCGAAAUGCGAUAAGUAAUGUGAAUUGCAGAAUUCAGUGAAUCAUCGAAUCUUUGAACGCACAUUGCGCCCGCCAGUAUUCUGGCGGGCAUGCCUGUUCGAGCGUCAUUACAACCCUCAGGCCCCCGGGCCUGGCGUUGGGGAUCGGCGGAAGCCCCCUGCGGGCACAACGCCGUCCCCCAAAUACAGUGGCGGUCCCGCCGCAGCUUCCAUUGCGUAGUAGCUAACACCUCGCAACUGGAGAGCGGCGCGGCCACGCCGUAAAACACCCAACUUCUGAAUGUUGACCUCGAAUCAGGUAGGAAUACCCGCUGAACUUAAGCAUAUCAAUAAGCGGAUGA